rnacentral:rRNA from 1 species
CCUACGGGUGGCAGCAGUCGGGAAUAUUGCGCAAUGGAGGAAACUCUGACGCAGCGACGUCGCGUGCAGGAAGAAUGUUUUCUGAUUGUAAACUGUUUUAGACAGGGAAGAAAAAAGACAGUACCUGUAGAAUAAGCUCCGGCUAACUGCGUUCCAGCAGCCUCGCUAAUACGUAGGGACCAAGCUUUUACCGGAUUUAUUGGGUGUAAAGGUUGCGUAAACGGAGAAACAAGUCAGUUGUGAAAGCUCUCGGCUUAACUGGGAAACUGCAACUAAAACUACUUCCCUUGAGUACUGGAGAGGAAAGUGGAAUUCGUAGUGUAGCGGUGAAAUGCGUAGAUAUCAGGAGGAACACCAGUGGCGAAGGCGACUUUCUGGACAGUAACUGACGUUGAGGCACGAAAGUGUGGGGAGCAAACAGGAUUAGAUACCCGUGUAGUC